GAGUUGAUCCUGGCUCAGGACGAACGCUGGCGGCGUGCCUAAUACAUGCAAGUCGAGCGGACAGAAGGGAGCUUGCUCCCGGAUGUUAGCGGCGGACGGGUGAGUAACACGUGGGUAACCUGCCUGUAAGACUGGGAUAACUCCGGGAAACCGGAGCUAAUACCGGAUAGUUCCUUGAACCGCAUGGUUCAAGGAUGAAAGACGGUUUCGGCUGUCACUUACAGAUGGACCCGCGGCGCAUUAGCUAGUUGGUGAGGUAACGGCUCACCAAGGCGACGAUGCGUAGCCGACCUGAGAGGGUGAUCGGCCACACUGGGACUGAGACACGGCCCAGACUCCUACGGGAGGCAGCAGUAGGGAAUCUUCCGCAAUGGACGAAAGUCUGACGGAGCAACGCCGCGUGAGUGAUGAAGGUUUUCGGAUCGUAAAGCUCUGUUGUUAGGGAAGAACAAGUGCAAGAGUAACUGCUUGCACCUUGACGGUACCUAACCAGAAAGCCACGGCUAACUACGUGCCAGCAGCCGCGGUAAUACGUAGGUGGCAAGCGUUGUCCGGAAUUAUUGGGCGUAAAGGGCUCGCAGGCGGUUUCUUAAGUCUGAUGUGAAAGCCCCCGGCUCAACCGGGGAGGGUCAUUGGAAACUGGGAAACUUGAGUGCAGAAGAGGAGAGUGGAAUUCCACGUGUAGCGGUGAAAUGCGUAGAGAUGUGGAGGAACACCAGUGGCGAAGGCGACUCUCUGGUCUGUAACUGACGCUGAGGAGCGAAAGGGUGGGGAGCGAACAGGAUUAGAUACCCUGGUAGUCCACGCCGUAAACGAUGAGUGCUAAGUGUUAGGGGGUUUCCGCCCCUUAGUGCUGCAGCUAACGCAUUAAGCACUCCGCCUGGGGAGUACGGUCGCAAGACUGAAACUCAAAGGAAUUGACGGGGGCCCGCACAAGCGGUGGAGCAUGUGGUUUAAUUCGAAGCAACGCGAAGAACCUUACCAGGUCUUGACAUCCUCUGACAACCCUAGAGAUAGGGCUUUCCCUUCGGGGACAGAGUGACAGGUGGUGCAUGGUUGUCGUCAGCUCGUGUCGUGAGAUGUUGGGUUAAGUCCCGCAACGAGCGCAACCCUUGAUCUUAGUUGCCAGCAUUYAGUUGGGCACUCUAAGGUGACUGCCGGUGACAAACCGGAGGAAGGUGGGGAUGACGUCAAAUCAUCAUGCCCCUUAUGACCUGGGCUACACACGUGCUACAAUGGACAGAACAAAGGGCUGCGAGACCGCAAGGUUUAGCCAAUCCCACAAAUCUGUUCUCAGUUCGGAUCGCAGUCUGCAACUCGACUGCGUGAAGCUGGAAUCGCUAGUAAUCGCGGA
rnacentral:rRNA from 1 species